rnacentral:rRNA from 1 species
UACGGGAGGCAGCAGUGGGGAAUAUUGGACAAUGGGCGCAAGCCUGAUCCAGCAAUGCCGCGUGUGUGAAGAAGGCCUGCGGGUUGUAAAGCACUUUAAGCAGGGAGGAGGGGUACUGGCGUGAAUAGCGUUGGUAUCUGACGUUACCUGCAGAAUAAGCACCGGCUAACUUCGUGCCAGCAGCCGCGGUAAUACGAAGGGUGCAAGCGUUAAUCGGAAUUACUGGGCGUAAAGCGCGUGUAGGCGGUUAUUUAAGUCAGAUGUGAAAGCCCCGGGCUCAACCUGGGAAUGGCAUUUGAUACUGGGUAACUGGAAUGUGGUAGAGGGAGGCGGAAUUUCCGGUGUAGCGGUGAAAUGCGUAGAUAUCGGAAAGAACACCGAUGGCGAAGGCAGCCUCCUGGGCCAACGAUUGACGCUGAGACGCGAAAGCGUGGGGAAGCAAACAGGAUUAGAUACCCUGGUAGUCCACGCCCUAAACGAUGAGAACUGGACGGUGGGGAGGUCACUCUCUGCUGU